CCCUUCUCCUGAGGGGCAGAGAAAAGGGGUUGCCGCUGUAGAGACCAGGCUGGAACCUGCCCCGCCAGAAGCCAGCAGCAGCCAGAAGAGGGCCACCAGACCUGAGCUCGGCAGGAAGGGUUUUUCCGGGAGAUGGGCAGAGUAGCCUCAUCUUUCAGGGCUGGGGGCUCUUCGCUUUCAGCCUUCACGAUGGUUCUACAGACCUUCAGUGCUGUGCUUAUCACAUGGCACAGAAUCAUUGAUGCCCUCCUCUGUCUCGCCGACUAGACGGUGAAGUUGGGCCGCCUGUUUUUGAUUUCCCAUGCCUGGCAGAGGGCUGCAUGUGGUAGAGCCUUCAUGACGCAUGAAGUGCCCUGGUUGAUCACCUAGAGUACCUGCUUCCCAGAGCAGACACUUCUUGCCUAAAGAACCUCUGUUCUGCUCAAUUUGCUCUCGUCAGCACGAUGAUGCUGAAAGGGUUAGAUGGACUCCAGUGAAGUUAGCUACGAAAAGGUUUCCUGGUUAACCCUAAAUCUAAGUUUCUAUCAGAAAUCUUCUUUCCCAGAAGCCUUCUGACAAAUUUGUAUAUUACAGUUCACUUUCUUCAUGAAUAUGGGCCUAUUUAACGUGAUUCUUGCUUUCCAUUAUUAAGAACAAGAUUUGGGGGGAAGAGAAAUCUAUUUUGAGUAUUUGAGAGAGACUUGAUACACACUUCUGAAUUUCAUACAUGAGAGGAUGUAAUCUUGUCAGUACUCUAAGGAAAGUAGCCCUUUGGUUACUUUUUAAGAUCAGACUAAAUCCUAGAGAUAAAUCGAUAGCUUGAUUUAACAAAAAUUUAUAGAAUGCUACUAUGUAGACAGCCUUGACCAAAGCACCGUAGUAGAGUCAAAGGUGAAUGAAACCUGACCCCUGCCCUCCAGGGGCUGACUUAAUGAAUAUCUCUGGAGAAUUCUAUCAUCUCCUGUUAUCAUGAUCGCAAACCUAGGAUGUUAUUGGGAAACUGAAACUCAGCUGUCCAAGUGACAAAGCCGAGACCCUAAUACGAGUCUGUCUGACUCCAAAAUCCAUCUUCUUUCUAAUUUAUCCUCUUUCCAAUGUACCUAGGAAAGGAAAAAGUUCUCUAUGGAUACAGGAUCAAUGCUUGGGGAAAGUCAAAGAUCUAAGCGUUGGGGCCAAGGACAGAUAUGGAGAUCAGAGAAGACUCCUUGAAGGAAAAUAAAUGAGAUCCCUGUUGAAGAUCCUUCUUUGUCAGGAAAGUGAAAUAACUACAGAAACAUGGUGAGAGUAGGGCUCCUCUGCCCGAACCUUCAAAUUCUGUGCGUGGGAAUUCUCUGAGAGAGGCUGCUGGGGGUCACCCUGAAGACGGUCCCAUGGAGGGAACAGCUCAAGGUAAGUGAAAGUAGAAGGAAACUCGUGUCUUGUGCUAGGGAAAUCCUCCUGCUUAAUGGAACCAGUUUAAAGCCAUACAAAAAAAAUCUCUGUUUCUAUAUGCAGACCAUGCAUGUCCUUGGCCUUGGUUAGACAAUGAGCUGUGGGAGGAAGCCAACAGAAUGAUCCGGAAGACGGGCAAGAAGAAUUGGAGGAGAAACUGCCUCUCGUUCAACAUGGAGGGAAGAUUGGAUCCAGUGAAGGUCCACUCACCAUUCUGACACCUGUUUCCAGAGAAAGGGGCUGGACAGCUGCAGGUGAAUGUGGCCCCGCUGAUGAGGCAGUCUCCACCAUGUGCACAGGGGUUGGACAGGCAUGGAUCUAAAACACGUGGGCGGAAGUCAAGGUUGCAAUGAACAGCAGGCAAGAAGCCCCCUGUCUGCUCAUUGAAUUUCCAUCUCCUGCCCCAAAUGAGAGAGGAACUUCCCAGCCAGGGAUUGGGGAAAGGGGGAAACAUGCAUUGACCUUCCAGAGCCAGGAACACUGCCAUCACAAGACCAGAGGGAGGGAUUCAGGUUAGUAAGAGGAGAGGCAAGAAGGAAUCGUGACUGUCUCCCUCAGCCUGGCUUUGGAUGGGGCCUUUCUCGCUGAGUAACUCCUCUUUUCCGUCAUCAGUAUCUCUCUCCUCCCAGUCUCGCUGGGAGUGCCACGGGGUCUGUCUCUGAUGCCGAAGGCAUUUCACAAGCCUGAAGACCUCCCCUACUUCCAGUGCCCAGGGGUGGAGGUCAGGAGUGGGGAACGAAAUCCCACCCCUAAUGAAACACAAGCUUUCUGAACAUCAGGAAAGAAGACCAAAGGCAAGAGGGGGACAGAAGAAUUGACGGCAAGGAGGAAAUGACCCAGUGGCCUUCAUCUUUCUUCAACUACUUGUUCAGUUAGAUUUUGUCAUAUUUCAUCUGUGCCUUUGGCUUUUCAUGGUUGUCUGAAUGGAUCUUCCCUUGGGGAAUUCUUUAUCCUUCUGUUCACACACAUUGUUCUUUGGUUCAGGAACUAGGAUCCCUGGGCCUCUGGCUCUUGUUUUGAUGGUCCCUUCUGAUGUUCCCCUGAUGCCCCGUAUCUUGGCCCUGCCUUCCAGGCCACUUCGCAGUUACACAGCUUUUAUUCCAGCUGUUAAGUGCUUUCCAUUACUUCUACUGAUUUAGUCACAUGGCUUUGCUUAGGCCCAGCUUCUCAUUUUCCUUUCUGUCUCAAGAAGCCACAAAAACAAAACCACACGUGGCCGAAGCACACAUGUGUGAGUGUGCGUGCACACACACACACCACACACACACACACACACACACACACAACAACUGUGCAAAUCUUCUGAAGAGUGAAGAGAGAGGAAAAAAAAAAAAACCACAGCACAGCACAAUGCCAAAUUUGUGAAUGCUGCAGUUUGAUGCCUAAUGCUAAGACAGACUCUUCUGCAUAAUUAGGACUACCUGUCAUGAAAGCUCUGGGGAUGUUUUGAACAUGACUCUAACCCACAGUGUCGGGAGAGCUGGAUGAUGAUGCCCUAACUUGCUGCGUGACCUUGGCUAAGUCAGCUCCCCUCUUGGCCUCACUUGCUUCACCUGUCAUUUGAAAGUGGGAGAGACGGUCUCUAAGAACCUCCCCAGUAUUCAUAGUAUGUAAUUCUAACUGAAAAAAAGCCAGUCUAAAUAAUUUUUUAAUACCUAUUUUAUGAUGCUGGUCAGAGAGGAAGAGAAGAGAGAGCCCUUGCAUGGGGUCACACAUAAACUCCCCUCCAGAUGUGCUGCUCUCCUCCCAGGAAGGCCCCCCAAACAGCUUUGGUACCUACCGUCCUCUGCGUAGUACCAGUCAGGGUUCUCGGGAUGGACAAGAGCACUGCUGGCGUUCUCUUCCUGGUCAUAAUACUCUUGGCUGUACUCAUAGUGGUCGAGAGUCCAAUCUACAGAUGUGGGAACAGGACAGAAGAAACCCUAAUCAUAAGACCUAAAGAAGUCACCAUUUUAUUUCACUGAAAACCCCCUUUCCCAAAGAUUUCUAGGUCCUGAAGGAGGGUUCAUGUGUCUUUCCAGCUCCUGACACUGACGGGGCAGAUAGAAGGGGUCAGGCACCAUGAGUUUUCAUUUGAGGGGGCUGUUAUGACCCAGUGAGCCAGCACUGGCAUUUGGCCAGGUCAAGAGCACGUGAUUGGAAAUGGGGAGAAGACGACAAGUUCUGGCUUUUCACUAACCGUGACCUUGGACAAGCCAAUUGUAUUCUCCGUGCCUCAGUUUUCUCACCUGUAAAGAGCAGGAAGAUGACUGGGGCGCAGGAAGUCUCCAAGGUCCUGUUUGAGAUCUGCCCAGGGUCAGAUCCAGUGGCACUUGAGUGCCUUGUUGGGUGGUUCUGUGAAUGAAAUUUCUCAGCGGGACUUUAUCAGUCACCUUAGCUGAAUAAAGUCAAAGAAACUUGUCACUCUUCUUUCAGCUUCAGCAUCAAACUACUCCCGAGUUAUUUAUAUAGAAUCAUCGUAACUGUUAAUAUUUACUGAGUCUUUACUAUGUACCAGGCUCUGGACUAAGCAUUUUACAUGAACCACCCCAUUCCAUUCUCAUAAAAAUCUAGAUGUAUUAUUAUCUCUACUUUAAGCUUAGAAACCUGAGGCUAAAAGAGGUUAAGUAACUUGUCCAAGGUCACAUAGCUAAUAAAUGACAGCAUAUGAACUAAGGCAGUUUAUCUCCAUAUAUCCCUUAAACUGCACUCUCUCAACUGCUUCAGCAGGCCUCUCAUACUGCCUCAGAUAAUUCACAGUUACCCUUGGGAAAGGGGUCCUAUCAUUCCCAUUGCAUAUCCAGCCUGCUAUUUAGGAAUUGUCCAAGGACAGCCUUGAGAAGUUUCACGGAUCUUGCCUACUGAAAGAAAGGGCAGUAUAUGGAGUUGCCCAUGGUUGUAAACCUUACACUAGACCAGUCCAUCAGGAAGAGCAGGUGUGUGUAAGCCUGGACUCAAGCUCUUUGUUGUCUGGGGCCUUGGAAGAUGCUGAUAGCUCUGUGGCUGAUGGAGAGGAGUUUGGGAUUUGAAGAAAGUUGGGUUCACUUUGCUCUCUCCAGCUGGCAGGAGUAUGGCAAGUCAGCAAGUCGAAGCUGUAAGGAAGCUGUCCAGAGAUGCAUAUGAUAAUGAGGCAGGAGCAAAUGCAGAUAGCCGACUUGAAAAGGCACUCCCACGGAGCCAGCGAUGGCCGGGAGGAUGGCACUUUACCUAAGCCCGAUUAUCAACCACAUUAUCUUAUUCGUCUCUCAGUUAUUCCCUUAUAGUCUUUAUAUCUUUGGCUUUUGAAAAAUCGACUUUUGCACAAUGGCUGUUUUAUAUUUCCCAUUAAAAUGGAACUAUCUUUUUAUUUCCUUUUUGAAUACGCCAACUCUGGUUCCUUGCCAAAGUUUCACCUCAUUUAUCACAGUGUCAAGUCAAGACUCCCUUUGCUUCCUCAUUAUUUCUCCCGAGCUGCUUUUCCCCACUAUGAAAAUGCUCUCAGAGGAGGCCACCUUUCCAGGCAAGAGGAUCUAGGUUGAAGAUAAGGCCAUUGUCCUCCUGGAGCAAAUAAAGUUUCUUUCCAUCUAGCAUGAUAAAGCAGAGAAAGGGUGAGAAAGUAAGGGGGAAAAAAAAUGUUUUUCUGAGUUUGACAUGAAAGAUUUCAAACUGACAUUUGGAAGAGACAAUGAGUUUGGUAAUGAGAUGAUUGCCCCAUUUCUUUCUUUCUUUUUUCUUUGGAGAAUUGAUUUUUGUUUUUCCAACAGGUGUUUAUAGAUAAGCGCCUUCGAAUUGCUCCUGUAAUUUCUCCCGUCACUCCCACAAGUCGAGGGUCAGACUGGAUAAUCUUGGUUAGACCAUUAAGAAUCAUUUCUUUUGCAGAUAUUUGGAAAUGAGGGAAGGUUUUUCAUAAAGAUGGAGUGGUAUGAUUUUUCCAGGUGACAGAGGAUGGAUGAAAUGUCUGUUGGA